rnacentral:rRNA from 1 species
CGAAGAACCUUACCAGGUCUUGACAUCCUCUGACACUCCUAGAGAUAGGACGUUCCCCUUCGGGGGACAGAGUGACAGGUGGUGCAUGGUUGUCGUCAGCUCGUGUCGUGAGAUGUUGGGUUAAGUCCCGCAACGAGCGCAACCCUUGAUCUUAGUUGCCAGCAUUCAGUUGGGCACUCUAAGGUGACUGCCGGUGACAAACCGGAGGAAGGUGGGGAUGACGUCAAAUCAUCAUGCCCCUUAUGACCUGGGCUACACACGUGCUACAAUGGAUGGUACAAAGGGCUGCAAAACCGUGAGGUCAAGCGAAUCCCAUAAAACCAUUCUCAGUUCGGAUUGUAGGCUGCAACUCGCCUACAUGAAGCUGGAAUCGCUAGUAAUCGUGGAUCAGCAUGCCACGGUGAAUACGUUCCCGGGUCUUGUACACACCGCCCGUCACACCACGAAAGUUUGUAACACCCAAAGUCGGUGGGGUAA